AGUGAACGCUGGCGGUAGGCCUAACACAUGCAAGUCGAACGGCAGCACAGGAGAGCUUGCUCUCUGGGUGGCGAGUGGCGGACGGGUGAGGAAUUAAUCGGAAUCUACUUUUUAGUGGGGGAUAACGUAGGGAAACUUACGCUAAUACCGCAUACGACCUACGGGUGAAAGCAGGGGAUCUUCGGACCUUGCGCGAUUGAAUGAGCCGAUGUCGGAUUAGCUAGUUGGCGGGGUAAAGGCCCACCAAGGCGACUAUCCGUAGCUGGUCUGAGAGGAUGAUCAGCCACACUGGAACUGAGACACGGUCCAGACUCCUACGGGAGGCAGCAGUGGGGAAUAUUGGACAAUGGGCGCAAGCCUGAUCCAGCCAUACCGCGUGGGUGAAGAAGGCCUUCGGGUUGUAAAGCCCUUUUGUUGGGAAAGAAAUCCAUCUGGUUAAUACCCGGGUGGGAUGACGGUACCCAAAGAAUAAGCACCGGCUAACUUCGUGCCAGCAGCCGCCGUAA
rnacentral:rRNA from 1 species